GACGAACGCUGGCGGCGUGCUUAACACAUGCAAGUCGAACGGAAAGGCCCUGCUUUUGUGGGGUGCUCGAGUGGCGAACGGGUGAGUAACACGUGAGUAACCUGCCCUUGACUUUGGGAUAACUUCAGGAAACUGGGGCUAAUACCGGAUAGGAUCUCCUGCUGCAUGGUGGGGGUUGGAAAGUUUCGGCGGUUGGGGAUGGACUCGCGGCUUAUCAGCUUGUUGGUGGGGUAGUGGCUUACCAAGGCUUUGACGGGUAGCCGGCCUGGGAGGGGGGCCGGCCACAUGGGGCCUGAGAUACGGCCCAGACUCCUACGGGAGGCAGCAGUGGGGAGUAUUGCACAAUGGGCGGAAGCCUGAUGCAGCGACGCCGCGUGCGGGAUGACGGCCUUCGGGUUGUAAACCGCUUUCGCCUGUGACGAAGCGUGAGUGACGGUAAUGGGUAAAGAAGCACCGGCUAACUACGUG
rnacentral:rRNA from 1 species